rnacentral:rRNA from 1 species
GACGAACGCUGGCGGCGUGCUUAACACAUGCAAGUCGAACGGAAAGGCCCUGCUUUUGUGGGGUGCUCGAGUGGCGAACGGGUGAGUAACACGUGAGUAACCUGCCCUUGCCUUUGGGAUAACUUCAGGAAACUGGGGCUAAUACCGGAUAGGAGCUCCUGCUGCAUGGUGGGGGUUGGAAAGUUUCGGCGGUUGGGGAUGGACUCGCGGCUUAUCAGCUUGUUGGUGGGGUAGUGGCUUACCAAGGCUUUGACGGGUAGCCGGCCUGAGAGGGUGACCGGCCACAUUGGGACUGAGAUACGGCCCAGACUCCUACGGGAGACAGCAGUGGGGAAUAUUGCACAAUGGGCGGAAGCCUGAUGCAGCAGCGCCGCGUGCGGGAUGACGGCCUUCGGGUUUUAAACCGCUUUCGCCUGUGACGAAGCGUGAGUGACGGUAAUGGGUAAAGAAGCACCGGCUAACUACGUG